rnacentral:misc_RNA from 1 species
CCUCAACUCAUAUGGACAAUGCAUAUAUGGCUUUAAUAGAAAAUUAACAUUGAAUAUUUUAUAAUGUUUGGUUUGAUCAUUGUUUUUGUUUUGCUUUGUUUUUAUUUGAAGGUUCUUCAAUGAAGUUUCUUCAAGUCAACAACUCACAAGGAUAAUGCACCAACUCCUUGAUCAUUGCUUUCUGUCAACUGAAAAUUAAAAGAACCCAUUUUGCCUAAUCACCAUUUCAUUUCUCCUCUUCUCUACCCAAACACAAUGGCAGACUCUUUUCUCUUCAGCAUCACAGAAAGUGUUCUGGAGAAGUUGGGCUCUCUUGCUCUUCAAGAAAUUUUCCUCGCAUGGGAACUCGAAAGUGAACUUGAAAAAAUUAUGAAGAUCUUGGGUGCCAUCCAAGCCGUGCUUUUCGACGCCGAACAGAAGGGGUCACACAAUCAAAGGAUAGAGGCUUGGCUGGGGAUGCUCAAAGAUGUCCUUUAUGAUGCAGAGGAUGUUGUGGAUGAGUUUGAAUGUGAAGCCUUGCGAAGGAAAGUAGUCAAGUCUGGUUACACCACCCAAAAGUGGCAGACGUGGCAGGUCCAACCACAUCCAUGAGUUGAGCACUGGAGUUUGAACUGGUGACUGAACAAUAAUUAUAUGGGAGAGUUAUUUCUAUCUAUCUUUUCUGCAGUGUAUCUUUUAUUUAUUAAUAUUAUCAUAUUUUAAAAUUCUGUAUUGACUGUUUGUAUUUUUUUAUUUUGAAACUGUAAAAUAUUUUAUGGAUAACUGUAUGAGAGUCUAGCUAAGUUCUCCGAAUAUUAUACAUUUACUGUUGUGAUUAUGUGUGAAUUCAAAGGUUGAGCUUGGCUCUCUUAAUUAUGUAUUAUUAUUGCAUGUUGGGCUUGAUUGUAUAUUAUUAUUGUAACACCGUGAAAG